GAUACCACUUUGCGGAAAGUGGAAACACUGGUCUUCUGUCUACCUUUACUCGCUAGAUAGACCGUCCUCGCUAGAUUUUACUUCUUGACCUCUCUAUAUAAUGUUAUUUGUUUCAUUCUGUUCUACAUUUUUUCUGUCCAGGGUCACAAAUGUGAAGGACAUUUUGCCAGAGUGUCCACAAGCUGGUGGGGGCGGCGGUAGUGGUCCGUUGACGUCACAAAUAUGGGGAAGGGGGACAUUUCUCGAAGGAUUGUCCACAAGAGGGUCGCGGUGGUGGUGGAAGUCGUACCUGCCAUGAGAUAAACAAAAAACAAAAAAAACAUCAUUUUUAGUGCUCAUUUUUAACGAAGAAGAGGGCAAUAUAGCAAGGGAUUUUCCUCAAGGAGGAAGCAUUGGUGGCAGCAACUGUUAUGAUUGUAAUGAAGCUGACCACAGCUCGAUAGGCUGCCCGAAUCUCUUCAGUGAAUUGACGGAAGAUGGAAAGCCACAUGAGCAAUACAUUCCAGAAGCUAUGACAUGCGAUGAAAAGGAACUGUUUAAGGGCAUUGUCUAUGUGGGAACGCUUUAACAAUUUUGAUAAAGUCGUCCUCCAUGCUACAGGAAAAGAUGUACUUCAAUACAUAACAUCAUUCGAAGAAGCCGGCCUGCAUCAACUACUACUUCAAAACAUUAAGAAUUCUGGCUACAUAAAACCAACACCUGUUCAGAAAGCUUCAGUUGUAGUUAUUCUUGCCAAAAGAGGUUAAUUGCUUGUGCGGUCACGGGGUCCGGAAAACGGCGGUGUACUUGGUACCGGUUAUGAACAUAUUGUUAGAACAAGGUGUUGUUGGUGCGUCUCAUGCCAUGGGGCAAAAGCCAGAAGUUGUAAUUGUCGCACCCACCCGUGAAUUGGCCAUUCAAAUUCACCGUGAGGCGUGUAAAUUCUCCUACAGUUCGGUUUUAAAGUCUGUGAUUAUAUAUGGAGGAACUCUCACGAGCCAUCAGCGGUCAAAUCUUCAAGCUGGGUGCAAUAUUUUUGUCGCAACCGCGGGGCGAUUCAAUGAUUUUCUCGACCGUGAAGUAUUUGACUUCUCGGGAGUCAGGUUUUAAAUUUUGG